rnacentral:rRNA from 1 species
AUGAUGCGAAAUUUCCACGACGCCCUAGUGGAUUGCGAACUAGAUGACAUGGGAUAUACCGGUGAACAAUUUACAUGGAGAAGGCGACGCAUCAGGGAACGUUUGGACCGGGUUGUUUGUAAUGUAGGCUUCCAUGGUUUGUUUCCAAACGCAGUGAUAACCAAUGCGCCGCAUCUCAAGUCUGAUCACAGGCCGCUAGUACUGGACACCGAGGGUGAGGCGGAUAGUUCUAGGCAGAAAGGAAAGAAGCAGGACCAGUACUAUGCCGUUUGCUGA